rnacentral:rRNA from 1 species
CAAGUGUUAUCCGGAAUCACUGGGCGUAAAGCGUCUGUAGGUGGUUUAAUAAGUCAACUGUUAAAUCUUGAGGCUCAACCUCAAAAUCGCAGUCGAAACUAUUAGGCUAGAGUAUAGUAGGGGUAAAGGGAAUUUCCAGUGGAGCGGUGAAAUGCGUAGAGAUUGGAAAGAACACCGAUGGCGAAGGCACUUUACUGGGCUAUUACUAACACUCAGAGACGAAAGCUAGGGUAGCAAAUGGG